AUUGCCCUUACCAACCACUGAGUGCAACAAGCACUUCCUGUAAGAUUGGGUACCUUGGUUCCCUCGGCCACUCUUCGUGGAGGUACAGAGUAGGUACAGAAGGGAAAGGGUGAAUGAGACAUAUGGAGGGGCUGGGCGGUGGAAUGAGACACAUUAUGGGGCUAGGGGGAGAAUGAAACACAUGGAGGAGCUGGAGGGGCAAUGAUGAGACACAUGAAGGGGCUAGGGGGAAUAAGACACAUGGAGGGACUGGGGGGUAAUAAGAC